rnacentral:rRNA from 1 species
AUUAAACGCUGGCGGCAUGCCUUACACAUGCAAGUCGAACGGCAGCACGGGGGCAACCCUGGUGGCGAGUGGCGGACGGGUGAGUAAUGCAUCGGAACGUGCCCUGAAGUGGGGGAUAACGCAGCGAAAGCUACGCUAAUACUGCAUAUUCUGUGAGCAGGAAAGCAGGGGAUCGCAAGACCUUGCGCUUUGGGAGCGGCCGAUGUCGGAUUAGCUAGUUGGUGGGGUAAAGGCCUACCAAGGCGACGAUCCGUAGCGGGUCUGAGAGGAUGAUCCGCCACACUGGGACUGAGACACGGCCCAGACUCCUACGGGAGGCAGCAGUGGGGAAUUUUGGACAAUGGGCGGAAGCCUGAUCCAGCCAUGCCGCGUGAGUGAAGAAGGCCUGGU